CCUACGGGUGGCAGCAGUGGGGAAUAUUGCGCAAUGGGCGAAAGCCUGACGCAGCGACGCCGCGUGAGGGAUGAAGGUCUUCGGAUCGUAAACCUCUGUCAGCAGGGAAGAACGGUCACUGUGCUAAUCAGCAGUGAAUUGACGGUACCUGCAACGGAAGCACCGGCUAACUCCGUGCCAGCAGCCGCGGUAAUACGGAGGGUGCGAGCGUUAAUCGGAAUUACUGGGCGUAAAGCGCUCGUAGGCGGUAUGUCAAGUCAAGGGUGAAAUCCCCGGGCUCAACGUGGGAACUGCCUUUGAAACUGGCAAACUGGAGUGUGGGAGAGGAUAGUGGAAUUCCAGGUGUAGGAGUGAAAUGCGUAGAUAUCUGGAGGAACAUCAGUGGCGAAGGCGACUAUCUGGCACAUAACUGACGCUGAGGAGCGAAAGCGUGGGUAGCAAACAGGAUUAGAUACCCUAGUAGUC
rnacentral:rRNA from 1 species